AUUCUCAACUCUGAUCGAUUUGUUUCGACUUCGGAGCUUGGAUUUGGAGCGUGCUGGCGUCGGUCGGCUCCUCUUAAAUGCAUCAGCGGAAUCUAACGUUUCGGACGUCAGUGUGAUAAUCAUGUUGCGCUGUCUGUCUGAUCCGAAAGCCCGCUCACAAUGGUCUUCGGACAACUUCAUAUCAAAUUUGACCUCAGAUCAGGUAGGACUACCCGCUGAACUUAAGCAUAUCAAUAAGCGGAGGAAAAGAAACUAACAAGGAUUCCCCUAGUAACUGCGAGUGAAGCGGGAAAAGCUCAAAUUUAAAAUCUGGCCGUCUUGCGGCCGUCCGAGUUGUAAUCUGGAGAAGCGUUUAUCCGCGUCGGACCGUGUACAAGUCUUCUGGAAGGGAGCGUCGUAGAGGGUGAGAAUCCCGUCUUUGACACGGACAACCGGUGCUUUUGUGAUGCGCUCUCGAAGAGUCGAGUUGUUUGGGAAUGCAGCUCAAAAUGGGUGGUAAAUUCCAUCUAAAGCUAAAUAUUGGCGAGAGACCGAUAGCGAACAAGUACCGUGAGGGAAAGAUGAAAAGCACUUUGGAAAGAGAGUUAAACAGUACGUGAAAUUGUUGAAAGGGAAACGUUUGAAGUCAGUCGCGUCGGCCGAGACUCAACCUUGCUUCUGCUCGGUGCACUUCUCGGUUGACGGGUCAGCAUCAAUUUUGACCGCCGGAUAAAGGUCGGGGGAAUGUGGCAUCCUUCGGGAUGUGUUAUAGACCUCGAUUCGGAUACGGCGAUUGGGAUUGAGGAACUCGGCGCUUUGCGUCCAGGAUGCUGGCAUAAUGGCUUUAAGCGACCCGUCUUGAAACACGGACC
rnacentral:rRNA from 1 species